GGUAUUCCUCAUUCACUGGACUGUGUACACAGAGUCUUACCUUCUCCUUUCUCCUAUUGUUCUUCUCCUCUUUUUGAUUUAAAUUCUAUGCAGUCCUAAAAACCAGGCUCAGUGACUGUAUCAGCCUGGCCUUUGCAUCUUUGCUCUGAUGUUGCUGGGUUGAAUUAGGGAGGAAAGUUUCCUUUUUCAAGGAAGUCCAGUUCCCUUUUAGUUUUUUCCCUUGGAAAUACAGACUUUGGGCUGUGGUUUCCUUUGGGCUUAAAUGAGAUGACUUAUGUGAAGAUGGUGGGCACACUUUUGAAAAUGUCUAAGGGAAAUUUGAGAAGUUCCAAGUCCAGAAUUCUGUUGGCUCGAUGGGCAGGCAGGAUGAAGUGUGUGAGAGCGGGUCAGGUGGGGUGCUCUGGGAUCUGGAACAUCCUGGGAUCUUGAACAAGCCUGUUGCAGCUUGCUUUUCCCUGUGUCUCAAUAGCUUCUCCUUCUCUCCUGAACCACAUCCUUCUCUCCCUGCACUCCCAAUGCAGAGCCAGUGCACUAGCACUGGACGUGAUGUUGAACCCAAUAUUCUUGCCCAGUAGAUGCCCAAAUCGUAUUUGAAUAAGCUUGCCAACGAGUGGAUUGGGUGCUAACUCUAUUUUUGCAAAGUUUUGCUCUUUACUGAGUAUUUCUCUUCCUUGAACUUGUGUAGUGUAUGCUGCCAUGAUUGUAUCGCCGUCACGGAUGGUUUUCCUUUUUUCUUCAACAUAAUCAUAAAUGUGCACUCUCUGGUUUCAGAGCAGCUGGCCUGAUCCCCAGUAAAGCCUUCAUAUAAACACGGAGACUUGGCAGGUAGACACGGCCCACACCGCUCUGCCCUUUGGCUGGUGCAUGGCUGUGGUUAUACAGGGGCCUGGGUCACUGGGCUCUGACUCUGAAAGCCAAACACAUUCUGUGGUAAAAGCAAUCACAGGUCUUGCUUUCUGAGGGUGUCGCUGGUUUUUGCUUAGGGUGGUCUUGAGAAUUACAUUCUUCUGUGCCCUGUGCCUGGUUUUUGUUUCAUUUAUUCACAGAGCCUUUUUUUCCCCCCUCCUCAUAGCUUUGUAAUUUGCCUCAAGACUGUGGACACAUCAUGCUGUCCCAGGGUCCUCAGUUUCCCUUUUGUACACCUUGGAGCCAGUUGGUCCCUUUGUUAGUUGUAGCACAGAGCGGGCUGCCAGUUUCCCUCACUGCUCCCUGCUCAUGGUCUGGAGGAACAAAGAAAAGAAGGAGAAACUCUGGGCUGUGCUUGCCAGGUAAACGGCUUUUGCCUGGUCAGUGGCCCCCUUGGCUUCUUGGAGAAGCACUGUGCUUGCUCAGACAUAAACAAAAGAAAAAUAGAGAGCAGUCUUGCUGGGCAAUCUUUAUAAAACAUCAGUUGUGAUAGUUUGGGAUGUCUUUUGUUAUGUGACCUUGUACCAAAAUAAGCAAAUCAGAAGCGUGAGUGGCUCCUUCUCCUGAGUCUUGGGAGGUCAGGCCUUAAUUCAGCGUUCUCUAAGGGGAACACUCUGCUUCUCCCUUUCCAGGGUGAGCUCAGGACUUAAACUGGCUUUAGAGUGUUGGUCACUGCCGCCCCCCUCCCCCCUUCCUGGCUUCAGGGAAGAAUGAGUCUGUUUUUAGCAGGUGGAUGCUUCUGGUUUUCCAUUAUGGAUUUGGAAGCAGACAGAUGCUGGGGAGCACACAGGGUGAUGGGCAGGAUUCGAGGUGACGGCCUGAGGGCUGCCACUCAGUGGCUUCUGAAGCAUAGUGAUGCCUUGUUAGAGCCCGGAUUGUUCUGGGAAUGAGAAGUCUUGUGCUCUCCCUCCUCCUUCACGCCCUAACCCUCCCCUCCCCUUGCAGGGAAAAAAAAAAUUCCUUCCCACUUUUAGCAUCCGUGUUUUUAAGAAUUCCCUCCAUUGUAGCCCCGGACAGAGACCCUUCUGUAAGUGCACUGGAGGCCUGUCCUGGGGACACCCCGCCCCCCUAUUAAAAGACCAUCGGAACAAGCUCACCAUUCUCCUCUGGAGAGGGUCCCUCUGUCCCAGGCCAAGGGACUCUUAAGGGAACGUUUAUCCUGGGACACUCAGUUUACAAAGACUGCUGCAGCGUCAGAUAAACUCCCUCAGCCCUGGUGGGGAGGGGUGGGAUAGGAGAAGGACAAAACCCCCUUUAUUUUCACCCCUGCAGGGAGACCAAUAAAGACUUUGUGCUGGAGCGCAGGGGUCUGAGCAAACAGAGGAAGGGGGUCUGUGUUGGCAUCCAUGCACCGGAGCAUUAUGGGCUAUUAUCUUACCAUUUGAGUCUUAGGGGAAAUCUUGGCUUGGGUGGUUGAUUGCAAGGCUCCAAUCAGGUGAAAUCAGAGAUUUCCAGUUGGCUCGGUGGUUGCUUGGACCCAAGAAGGAAGGACCGGAAUAAAGGGAAGGGAAAGAGGAUGUGGCAGCAGCCCUUGGCCACUGGGAAGCAUCGGGAGCCACCACACGGCUAGCAGCAACACCCCUUGAAGUGCCUGGCCAAGGGCAGGACCCAUCUUGAAAGGCGAGAGCCCUGGAUUCAAUCAAGGAUUUUUAUUUUGGAGAACAUGGCAACUUGUGGACUUGUGGAGACAUUUGCAUAGAAAGCAAAGCCCCUCUCCUGAAGGACCUACGUGUGUGUGAACCUGAGCUAGCAGAUGUUAAGCAAAGGGGACGCUGUGCCCCAUGAAGCUUGUCCUCCCAGAGCGGGGCCUUCUUUCUGGUGGCAGACAUCCUCUGCAGCUGCCUGCUGUGUCUCCCCCGCCCAACCCUGCACCCCAGCUUCCCUGCACCCUCCCCACCUGCCCCCACCUCCACACCUGCGCACCUUUGCACAGAGCUAUCCCUCCUGUUUGCUGCAUUAUCAUUCAGCCGGAUACUGAGUGAAUAGUUAACCACACUUGGGGCAGACAGGAUCUUGGUUUUCCUGUUCCUUCUAAAGAGGCCGGCGUUGGUGUAUUGCAAGUGGCAUGGGAAGAGUAUUGGGAUCUGGCUCUGCAGGUUCCGGAAUGACGCAGGAGCUGGUGUGUGUGUACCUCUAGCUCUCAGGGCCCCCAAAGGAGCUCUGGGCAGGAAAGCAGGUGCUUGACACUCGUCUUCUUUGUGCCCCAUUUGUUCAGUGUGUGCCGUACACAGGUGUGUGUCUGGAGGGUCAGUGGGUCCUGUUGCUUAUUCCAGCCAUCUUCUCUGACACAGUCAGCUGUGAAGCCCUUCUCCCUUUGAUGGCACUGGGGUCUUACUGGAUCAUGGUGCUUAGUUACAGACUAACCAGCUACUGGGUGUGACCGUGUGGUUGAGGAUCUUUGCCUCAGUAUGGACUGAGAAGUCACCCAUAUACCUGGCUACUGCUCACGGUUUUUUGGUCCCCUUUGCUCUGUGACCCACACUCAAGUGUGGUUGAGAACACUUCCUAAGUAUCUGUCAUGCGCCAGUGAUGUCCAACACAGUUAGAGAUGUUUGUGCGUGCUUACUUGCAAAGGCAAGGGCAUUUGCUUUUGUAGAAAGAGCAGAAGUGUCCCUGCACUAUAGACGACAUGUUUCGGUAGCCAUUUAGUGACUCCAGUGUCUUCUCUGAGAGAGAUGGGACAUUCUUGGCAUCUUAGGUUCACAAAGUGACCUCCCGAAGAUGUUGGUGCUGUUGAAGCAUAAAGAUUGUUUAGAGGUGUUCCUCUGCCUUCUUUGACCUGCGCAAUUGAUGCCAGGCUUGGUAUUUGGGUUCCUUUAGGUUUUAAGGAACCUUUGCAAAUGCUCGUCUAUUCCAAAGUCACAGUGAAAGCAAGGCAGGCAAGAAAGAGUGCCAGCAGCUGUCCGAAAGCUCACAGUCAUCUGACAUACUCGGCAGCCAUAGGCAGUCUCCAGGGAUACAGGGGUAGCAAGAAUAAUGCCAUCAUGGUCUCUCCACAGCAGGACUAAGUGCGCCUGACUCUGGGAUUCUGCUGUUACAAUGAGCUGGGGCUGGGGAAGUGACUGUCCCAGUAUGCCCAGAAUUAGAGUUUCUGGAGACAAAGGACUUUCAGAGCUAAACCUGGGACGAUCCUGGACAAACUGGAAUAAUUGAUCAUCCUACCAGGGAACUCAAGGACCCGCUUCUGUUUCUGUUUUACUUUUGCUGCCAGGGAGUGCACCUAGUUGGUUUGGCCAGCUGGCACUGGGAGCUGAGUGUCUGUUUGCUUCAUUAGCCACUGCAUAGCCUAUAGAUGCCAUCGGACCAGGCUGCAGUCCUGACCAUAUCAGUUGUUUCUGGGAUAGUGAAGCUGCAGGUUAUUGGACAAAAACCUGGGUAUGAUGAAAUGACUGAGACCUUGUCCUUCUGAGACCAUGUGGACAGACAGUAGGCAUGGCAAGAAUUUGGGGUAUUGGGAUUGCUCGCUACUAUAGUCCUACUUAAAACACUGACAUUAACCUUUAGCAUGAGAAACACAACAAACAGUCCCUGAGAAGACUGGGAAAUAAAUAGACCAUGGUGUGUGUGUGUGUGUGUGUGUGUGUGUGUGUUCAUGUUCAUAUAUGUGCGUGCACGCACACACAUACUUCUCAGGUAUGCAUGUGCUAUGAAGAAUGAAUCGAGAAUAAAAUUCUGAACCUUUGCUAGACAGAGACAAAGAGCUGAAAUCUUGGCAGUAGUAUUGUCUGGAAAGCGUAGGAGUUGGCUGGAGGACUUCCUGAAAUUCCUUUGAACUCUAGAAUUAUUUAAAAUAUCAAGGGCGUGUAAAUUGGGGCUAAGUGUGUACUUUCCUUCUAAAGUCUCCUAGAUAACCUUCAAGUUUGGUUUAGAAAGCGUGGAGUGGGACCUCCCAGCUCAUUUUUACCUUUCCAGAUCACUAGGAUCAGGGAGCGGAACUUGGAGGUGGAGGGGUGGGGGGCGCAGAGCUGUGCCAGCCUGAUGUCUGGUGUUCGUGACAAGUAUGAACAAUAAGCAGGCAAAUUACAGGUUCUUCUACAGGUUAGAAAAGCCAGGUUUUCAGGAUCGCACAGCAUCCCGAAGUUGUCACUGCUUGUCAGGGGAUUCAGCCUUCAUCUUUCUGCUGGAAGACGGGCAUGAGUGUCCGCAGCGUUGGAACACUGGUCUUCUGCUAAUCCCACUCAUUUUGUGUGGCAUGGCUAUAGUGAGGUAAUGACAUGCUAGGGUAGAGAGGCGCGUGAAGCAUCCAGAGACCGUGCUCAUUCCUCUGGAGAUUCCAUGUACCCCGGUGUUUGCUUCUGAGCCAGCUCACUCUCCUUUCACUGCCCCAGGAGGAACGUGAGCCCCGGUCCUUGGGUGCCAUUUUCUCUUUUAAAAGAUGGACUCAUUUCACCUAUUCCCUUCAUCUGUGUCUUACAUUCAGUCUUUGUUUCCAGGGCCAUCAUUGCUGUUGGGCCAAAGGCAACAGUCUCUCCCUGCUCCGUUCUUUCCAUCUCCAUAGAAUCCCAGAACUCCAGAGGCCUAAGUGGUUCUUAGCAGCACUCUGCUCUGGGUGGAUUCUGCCUAAGGCAAGAAUCCCUUUCCAGCCCCUGGCAUGGGAUCAGCCUGCCCAGGAGGCAGCUGCUGGGCAGAGUUGGAGAUGAGGUUGAAGAGUGAGUGACAUUGAUCCUAGUGGAGAAACAGGAGAAAUUUAAAGAGCAGUGCAUGCCUGUGAAGUGACACGAAUGAGUUUCGAACGAACUGCAUUUUACCCUGUCCCCACAUCUGUCUGUAUCUUACUGCUCGACCCAGGUGGGGGUCUGGAGCUGGUAAAAAGUACAGGCCAGAGGAGCUGAAGAUGUCCACUUUUGUCUCUGAAAAGAGCCCCUUUCAUGUAAAAUGAUGGGGUCAGGCACAGGAUCCGGAGACCCUCUCCCAGCUCUGGUCUCCAUUCCACUGGUAGCUUUGUUGCAUAUGCCAUCAGCUUUUAUGGAAUUCACAUCUUAAAGAUUUACUAUUUAUUCCAUAUUAGAAAAGCGUUGUAAAGCUGGGUGUGAUUACAUACCCACGACACUGAAGCCGGAGGAUUUUAAGUUCGAACCUGAGCAGUUUAGCGACUUGGUAAAAUAAAAACAAAAGGGCUGGGGAUGUGUCUCUGUGCUCAGGUCCUGGGUUCACGCCUCAGCACUGACCAAGUAUACGAAGAGAAGCAAAAACACUGCUCAUGGCACAGUGCAGUUUAUCCCACCCCAGACUAGGCACAUGCGUCUUCCCUCAGCUCCGUAUGUCCACAGCUCAGUUUUGCAGCAGCUCUUCACCCUCACCCUGAGUGGUCAGGUGCUCAUAGAGCCUUUCUGUGGCAUUGAACAUUCUGCUUCUCAUCAGAUGGCCUGGGAAAAUGUGAGUGUGUUGCCAGAGAGACAGGGGGUUUUCAUAGGAAAGCCAGCCCCUGUGCCAGAGGCCAUAGUUUAAAGGACAUGUGGUGACUUUGGAAAGGCCCUUGACCUUGGAUAAGAGCUUUACAUUCUAGCCUUCAGGCAGGCAGGUGCAGGGGAAGCCUGAAGAGAGCUCAUGGAUGGUAACUAGUCUUUUUCUUCAGCUGGUUCCAAGGUCAUGUGUGAGUCACCAGAACACUUUCUCUGGGUCUCAGUUUUUCUCAUCUGUAAAAUGGGAGAUGGAAGAAAAGAAGUUGGUACUGAUGUCCCCCUAAGACUCUUUGUCACCUUCUCAUCCUUGACCUGGCUGGUGUCUCACCCUUUGCCCGAGAGUAGCUUCUGUGCGUUGGCCUUUGAUUAUACCAGUCCAAAGCAGACCCAUCUGGGGAAGUCCAUUACCAGAGGACACUUCAAAGGUAUUUGCACAUGCCGUCAGUUGCACUGAACAUGAGUUUGUUGAGGGAGAAAGCAAAUAGACACACAGCUGAUGACAGGAGGGAGAAGGGGGGACUGUUUACCCCCCUUGGUGACUGAGAGGCAAGAAAGAAAAAACCUGCCUGCCGUUUUGACCAAUAAAUAAAAAACUGGGAGCUCUGCAUGGCUCAAACCAUGGGGGAUUUAUUAGUUUGCUUAGUGAAAGGCAAAUAUUAAGUCUUGAGCUGACCCAUCCUGAGGCUUGCCUUUUAGCUUUUGUAUGCCGUCAGGCGCCGAUCACCUGGUCCAGGUACUGGGGUUAUCGAGCUCUGUUGAAGGUCUUUUCUCUUUCAAUUGUUUUCCAUCUCCUUCCUCCUUCACCUGCCCCUUCCUCUCACUCCUCACAUUUCCUGGUAACUUACAUCUGGAUUUUGGAGGAGUUGGAAGCUUUGUUCCACUCAUGAAAGUCCUUGCCUGUGGGGCUCUAGCUGGUCUGGACCUGCCAAUGCCAGCGAGUCCAGCACUUGUCCUUUUCGGGGGAGCCUUUGGCACCUGAUGAGAACUGAACACUAGGCCCCGGGCUGUGAAGCAAAGGCCAUGACUUUCAUUAAACUUAGAAUAAGUGUAAUUAUAAAUAUCAGAAAUCAGCAGGUCACAAGUGUUUCUAAGCUGUGACCUCUCCCUCCUGGGUGACUGUACCUACCUCCCUGUGACAGGUGAUAGCAGCCAGAUAUCCUGAGAGAUGAGCUGCCUGAGAGGGACUGAGCAGGCCUUCUGACUUGCUAUGGAACCAGUGACUGUCACCCAGAGGUUUGGGAUGGUCUGUCUGGGUCCCGAGUGUGCACAAGUGUGAACCAAGAUGGGACCCUUCUCCAGAACGUCUCUAGAGUAAACUGCUGUGUUCUGUACAGUGCUGUACUUCUGGGUGCCCAGCUCCAUGUGGCCAUAGCACAGCAGGGUACCCUGCUCCACGCCAGCCCGAGUGCCCUUUCUAGGUCCAUCCAUGGUGACUGGCCAUGGAAAGUGCAUCUUACUAGUCUUCCCAGGACAUCCCAGUUCUCCACCUGGUACUCAAGCAGUCAAGAGUUGGGGAUGUUGUGGAGCUGUUUAAUUAAGAGGGUUCCUCCCUAAUUCCAGGAAUGAGUCUUCAUGAAAUGCAAUGUAUCCACUUUCUGUUGCUAUGAGAGAUACCCGAGAUAACCAGUUUAUAAGGUGAAAGUGUGAUUACUGCACACAGCAUCAGAAGUUCCAGUCCAUGAGCUGACAGACCUAGUGGUUUAGGCCACUGGUGGAGGGCAGCACAUCCUGGUGGGAGUGUGGAGUGGAGUGGAACCACUCACCUCGUGGCCUCAUCAGUGUACAGAAACUUAGGGGGAUCAAUUACCUUCACUAAGUCUUGCACGUGGUAGUUAGGAUUCAGAAGGAGGGUCACUGAGAAUCUCAAGUUCACAGCUGGUAAAGUCACAGCACAGUGGCCUCUACGUGGUAACUAGAAUGACAUUAACUUUGUGUUUCCUAUGUAUAAUCUACUUACGCAUCACUACAUUUGCCUGUUUUUCAUUUUCCUACUAUUAAUAAAGUGAUGUCUGAACAGCAAAGAAAA